CUGGCGGCGUGCCUAAUACAUGCAAGUCGAGCGAGAAAUACUUCAGACGAUCUUCGGAUGAGUCAGGAAGAUGGAAAGCGGCGGACGGGUGAGUAACGCGUAGGCAACCUGCCCUCAGCAGAGGGAUAGCCAUUGGAAACGAUGAUUAAAACCUCAUAAUGCUGGACCAACACAUGUUGGAUCAGCCAAAGAUUUAUCGGCUGGGGAUGGGCCUGCGUCUGAUUAAACUGGUUGGUGAGGUAACGGCUCACCAAGGUAACGAUCAGUAGCCGACCUGAGAGGGUGAUCGGCCACAUUGGAACUGAGACACGGUCCAAACUUCUACGGAAGGCAGCAGUAAGGAAUCUUGCACAAUGGGGGAAACCCUGAUGCAGCAACGCCGCGUGAACGAUGAAGGCCUUAGGGUUGUAAAGUUCUGAUCUGUGGGAAGAAGAAAGUGACGGUACCACAGGAGAAAGCCCCGGCUAAAUACGUGCCAGCCGCAGC
rnacentral:rRNA from 1 species